UCGCACCUACCGAUUGAAUGAUUCGGUGAAGAUCUCGGACUGUGGCACGGCACCUUUAUUGGCGUUGCGUCGUGGGAAGUUAUCUAAACCUCAUCAUUUAGAGGAAGUAA
rnacentral:rRNA from 1 species